GAGAGAUUCGUGAGCUAGGAAGCACAGAAGCGUCACUCAACGUCCGAUUCUCGCUCCGGAAUCGGAAACGGGAGCGGAAGCGUUUGGAAGCGUGAUGGAAUCGCGGUUCCGAAAAAUUAGUUAGUGGAAGCGGCUGGGGAGCGAUCGAUUCGUAUUUGGAAGCGUAGUGAUGUAUAAACGGAAGCGCAAUAAUUUUCUUUUGAUGCUUAUAUUGCCUCCUGGUUUUCUAUUGGUGUGUGGAUAUGGUUUCUUGUCUCUUUUGAAUCAUAUGUUCGAAAUUCUCUCAAGCUUCAGAGUAAAAUAUCAAAUGGCCAUGAAUCAUCUCGUUUCAACUAUUCAAGUUCCGGUGGUUUUGCUUUCAGAUCUAAUCGGCGAUUUCAUCGGGAGAGGAAGCUUAACUGGGCUUUUAAUCUUUCUUUCAAUUUGGGCUUUGAACCUCUUUGCCCAAUUACUUUGACUUUUGCCGACUAAAUCAACUCUUUAAUUAUUUGUAUACUAUAUCAUUAAUCAUAGUUAAUCAUAUGUGUGUG
rnacentral:lncRNA from 1 species